AUCUCAAAAAAUUAGUAGAUCAAAUGGCUGUGUGCUGUUACUGGGUUUGAGUUUGAUUCUUUACACUUCUGUGUGUUCUCCUGCAGCUCCUCGUGAGGGGAGCGGAGGGGCAGCGCUGAGCUCUGCUCUCUGUGACAGCGACAGGGCCCGAGGGAACGGCAUGGAGCUGUGUCAGGGGAGGGUCAGGUUGGGGUUAGGGACAGGGUCUGCACCAGAGGGCGGUGGACAUGGAACGGGCUGACCAGGGCAGUAGGCAUGACCCUGAGUGCUGGAGUUCCAGGAGUGUCAGACAUAGGGUUUGAAUUUUGGGUGUUCCUGGGUAGAGCCAGGAGCUGGACUUGAUAAUCCUUGUGGGUCCCUUCCAACUUGGGAUAACGUACGAUUUUAUGAUUGUGUGAUUUUUUGAAUGCUUACUCUCACAAACAGUAAGCUUCUCUUCAGUCUUUUCAUCUUAAUAUUAUCUUCAUAGCUUAUUUACUAACUUCUGAACUUCUAAACCCUUCUAGUUUAUUAGAAAGUGACUGAUGUGUAUCAGUCUGCUGUUUUUUAUUCAGCCCUUAUUUCUCCCACCCCCGUCUCAAUUUAAUAUACCUACAUGCUCACCUAUUAUCACUGAUAUAACAGGCAAUAAAAAUGCCAGAAAGUCUGAAGGAGUGAAACAGUGAAGUCACAAACAGCUGUGUGCCGCUAUAGACUCAUUCAUGUGUUUGGCAUUUUUGGUGUUCCCCCCCUCUUAAGCCUGCACUUCUAUCCUCACUAUGGUAUGGAUGGCUGUAGUAAUUAAGUGCGUGUUCAAAUUACCUCUCGUUUGAAGAGUGAUUUCUCCAUUUAAACCUACUUAAUCCAGGUUAGCUGCCUGUGGAUGAGGCAAGAAAGGAGGCAUUUACCCAGGCUGGAGGAGUACACCUAAUAAUCCAGAGAUCUGUAUUUGCUUUAAUGUGUUCUGUCGUAUUUGUUAGCUUAACAGGACUAGGUUAGUCCCUUCUCACUCUCUGUAACCUGGGAAACAGCACCGAGUGCGUUCUUAGGGAACUUAGCACUUUGUUGAUUGUGUCCUUUUGUGCUGGGCCUCCGUGUGUUCAGUUUUUGUUAAACCCCAGCAGUCUGUUUAACUUCGCCCUUUAGUUGACAAAGCCCUUAAAAGAGCCAUAACAAAUUUUGGUUUUGCUAAAAUAAUCUAAAUUUCUUUGCUCUUCCAAGUGGAUACAUAGUACACUGCUCUUCUACAGUUCAGUCUUCCUCAAAGAUUCACUUAUUUGUAUGACCACAAUAGUUGAAUAGCUGGAUUAUUCUAGAUCUGGUGCUUUGGACAAGACAUUGGAUUUACUUUGAAGUUGUUCUGCUUUGGGCAGCAUGUUGGACCAGCUGACCUCAAGAAGUCUCUUCUGUCAUAGGAUGUGAUUCCGAGUACUAAAUCAUUGAUUCCAGACUUUCUUACGCAGCCCCUUCCCCUUGGAUCCAAUUAUUGAUAAUCUCCUCAUUUCUAAGGGCAUUGUGAAAGCCUAGAGUGGGUUGGCACUAUUGUGAUAUGCAGUUCCUUUCUGCUGGCCUCCUUCUCCGCCCACUGGGUUGUGGAAGUGAUGGAAAGGUGCUUGUCAUUUCCAGAAUUUGAAAUAUGAAGAAAUCCUGUUGUUUGGAUUUAAAUUUGUAAUUUAGUAGCUUUGAUUUAGGAAUCUUAUUUCUUACAUAUAUGUUUAAAGCCCUGAGAAGAACCACUAUACUCAGUUGUGCACACGCUGCCAUAAACACAUAUUUCAGACAUAUACGAAGUGCAUGCCACUGCAUGAUGGUUUGUGUUGUCUUAUAGCCAAGA
rnacentral:lncRNA from 1 species